CAACGAGGAGGCAAAUGGCGUCCACUCUAUAGGGGAGACUGGGGUAAGAUGAGCCAAAGGGUAAGUUGAGACACCGAUAUGCUUAGAAAUGAUAAAAGAAAUUGAUCAUGUGACCAAAUAUUUAGGAGAUGGGCAUCAAUUCAUGGAGUCUGUAAAGUUUAGAAGUACAUGGGUGAAGGGGUUAGACAUUUAUUUACAAAAAUAAACAUUUUUCACUCUUCAAAGUGAAUUUAGUUUGUCAAAUGUUUUAUUAGAAUUGUGUUCAGACCAAAAAUGAUCAUUUUAAAUUAGUUUUAUACAUCAACUGUGGUUUCUAUGAGCUACAACAUGAUAAGAUAACAUAAAAGUCCACCAUUUUAUCUUAGAGGACUAAUAAAGUCAUCACAGUAGUUCAGGGGUAACUGAGAAAGUAAAAGAGUCUGAUGGGAGGAUCAGAGUUUACGUUCAGAUUGUUGAAAUGUUUGACUUUUACAGCUGUGAAUGUUCUGAAUCACUUAAAGACAUUCUCAUGUUAAAAUAGCUUUUUACAAAACGGCUUUUUAGCAGUUAUAUGCAAUAAUAAUGAUAAAAAACAUUGUACCAGCUGAAUAGCAUUAAACAGAUAAAAAUACACAUGAAUGUGAAGAAGAGACCAUUAUUAAGGGAGAGAGAAGGUGAGGGAGGGCUGACGCCAUCAAAUUAGCCCAUACACGGGGUAAGUUGACCAUAGGAGACCACUUUUUUCAGCAUGCUAAAUGAUCAAGACAGUUCUGUUUACAUUCAUUCUGUUGGUUUGCAGGGAUGAACAAUAUCCUGAAAUAUAUGCAGAUACACUAGUUAGAGACAGUCUAUGGUUGAACCUUAUAAUCCUGGAGAGAAGUGUCCUGAUUAAUGUAAGAAAAUAUCUGAACAAACAAACUGCGGGUCCUCUAGGAUGAAGAACGAGUCAUAACCUCCUCUGUGUUAAUAACACCACCUCCAGGAUGAGGGUAAUAUUAGUUAUACAGCAGAUUUAUGACCCCCCCCCCCCCCCCCAUCAAACAUAACAAGGCUCAAGUCCCUCCUGCUCCAUCUCCUGUGGCUCCUCUGGGACUUAUCGGCUGGUAAUCUAUUGUUAAACAGCUUUUAUAGUGAUGGAUGAAAGAGGCACCGCAACCUACACGCGAUCAAUUCAUAUCUAAUUAGCCCGUAUUAUUUAUGACACUUUGAACAGGCGUGGUGGGGGUCCCCGGGGAGGGAUAGAGACCUCAGCUGCCACCGGGGGAAAUGAGAAAUGGGAGAGGUUAUCAGGCGGAGCUAUUGAUUAGCAUAGAUGAUCUACAAAUGAAUUUCCCAACCCUGGGGGAGAAACCGAGGCGGGUUUACACGACACAGAGACAAAUAAUCAGAUGAAGUUAAAAACAACAGAGCAAAAUAACCAGAGAGGAAUGAAGCAGGUUGGUUAAUUUAGCUUUUUUAUCCUGCCGAGGAGCAGAAAAACUAAAAUAGAGAACGAACGAUAGUGGAUAAGAGAAAAGAGGAGUUCAAAUCAAAGAAAUGAAAAAGGACAAAUAAAGAAUACAUGAAAAAGAAAGAAAAACAGAGGAAUGAUUACAGAAAGAGCUGAUGGAAAUCUUGUCAAAGGCCUCCAUCUGCUGGUUCUCAGCGGUACUGCAGUGACAAAAAGCUUCUGGAGAUUCAUCCUCAUUACUCUGUAUGUACUGUGAGUGUUUGGAGAGUUUUAUCAGUGUGUUUUUUCUUAUAUUUUGCUUUUUAACGGGUCCAUUUUAAAUCUAUCUGUAUUUUUAGAUGAGUUAGCGACAGACCUGAGUGACAGUUUCUCAGUUAGUGACUCAGUUUUUAUGUUUACUAAUCACAAAGUGACCUCCAACUAUCAAUGACAUUUACACAAGUUAUAUUAUUAUCAAUUAAAUUAUAUAUAUAUUGUGUGUUUUAAACUGUUUUUGUAUCACCAACUGCAACAUUAACCCUAGAACACUAUCGCCGGGUGAUUUUCAUGAUGUUCGUUUGUCUGAGUAUCACGGGUCUGUGGGUAUCUUCAGCUUUUCCUUUGACAUCUUUGAAGACAUAUUUGUUCCAGAUCCAAAACCUGCUUUUUCCUACAGUCACGUGUUCACAGGUUGAUUUUAGUGAUAGAGGGUAAAGUAGGUUUGGGUGGAUUUGAUAGCUGCAUGUAGGGAAUAAGGUCAGUAAGAGCGGUCCUGGAAUUUACAUGCUAUCUUUAUUUAGCGCAGUGGUUAUGAAUAAUUAUCACAAAGUAGUGAUUUUCAAGGGAAUUCAGAUGGUGAUAAGAAAUAUUUGAGUCAGCCGGUCAUUUUUUACUCCAAAUCUGUCAUAUUUUGGUUCUCUCUCCUGCAGCUGUUAUUGUGCCAAAGACCCUGAGUCUGAAGCAGGGAAGACUCACAUGACCAAGGAAUGGGUGUAGUGAUGGGCACGGCAGUUUUUUUUUAGAUGUACUGAAUCACUAGAAUCAGUUCACUAAAAAGAUUCGUUCAAAAGAUUUGUUCACUAAAUCACCGAAUCGUUUAGCGGGAGCAGCCUGUGACUCCGACCUCCUGAACUGAUACACAGCUGAACAGUUCAGGAAUCAGUUUAGAUCAAGUACUUUUUCUUGGGUAUAUUAUUUCGGGUAAAAAUCACCCGGCGAUAGUGAUGGUGUUACUAAUUUUAGUGUUAGUGUUCUAGGGUUAAAGCUCUGUGAACUGAAGUUUGUCCUUUUAUUUCUCACAGUUCACCUGUAACAUGUACAAAAACCCGCUUCUUUAAAGUCAAAGUGAUUUUUGCACCAAGUGCAGCUCUACUCACGUGUUUCUGCAGAAAUGAGAACAGCUGAUUUUUCUGAUGUUGACUGAAUUCAAACUGAGGAGGCUGGUGGAGAUAACACCUGCAGCAGCUCUCGUCUUUCUUUCACUUCGGUGUAAUUGAUCUGAUCGUCUCAUGAUCACACAGCUCCUUCUGAUAAUGAGAGCUGCGUUUCGGUUGUUAUUAACAGUAGACACCAUUACAGUCGAGUUUACCUCUAAUUACUGACGUUCAUCUGCAAAUCCUCCUCCAGUCUUUUCUGCAGCAGCAGCAGGAAUUGAAUAAAAGUCCAUUUUUGUAUGACUGCAGGAGAGAAGAGCAGAUAUAGUUUUAGUGCUUUACUGGAGUCCUUUUCUUUGACAUCUGCCUCAGGGAUAAACAGGAUACAAUCUCAAUUUGUGCCGACAGACAGACGGACAGACAGACAGACAGGCUCCACACUGUUCUGGUCGACAGGAGAACAUGCUGUACUGUCUAUGAGUGGAUCCAUGAUGUGUUUGCAGUAUUAUCUAUUAGUUUGUGGUUCUAUGCUGUUACUCUACAUGCACAUUAAACUUAAAGACAUCAGAGCUUACAGUAGACGUGAUAUCACUGAUUUUCUCUGAUCUGGAUAAUGGUGCCUUUUGUGUUUUUCAGAGCCCGUCAUUAAAUGUCUAAACCUGAAGGAGACGCUUAUUAAAUCUGAACUUUGAUUACAAAAAGAGUUGUUUUCGCUCAUUUUCAGAAGCUUCACAUCUUACUCUCUCUUGAGGUGGUCCUCUGUGUCGCGUUUAGGGCUACAAAUCGGACAAAAUCUGCUGCAAGAGCCAAAAUGCAUGAAAUAGAUCACAGAGGGAGGAAGUGGUGCAGGAGAUCAGAUCUUUUCAGAGAAAUGCAAAUGUAGUUUCACCGUGAACAUGAAGUCUUGACCUUUCUGACCCGGUCAACAUGGACUGAAAAUUCAGAAGCUUCCUGAAAGGAGAAUUUGAGGUAGAGCUUCUCAUGAGUCAGGGUUUAACAAAAAGGAAAGAGGAUAUGAUAAAUAAAAGACUAAACUUGGAACAACAAAAACUUACUUUAAAAAAACACAAGGAGAAAAUUUUCAACAAAAGACAUCGAAGGGAAAAAAAAACACCAGGAGAGUCGAGACUCACAGAUCAGUGAACCAACAAAGAAACAGGUGAGAGACACAGGUGUAGACAAUUACUGAGGAAGUCAAACAAGACUAAAAACACAAGGAUGGACGACUACAAAAUAAAACAGGAAACACUGAAAACUGAUUUAAAGAAUAAAACACUGAGAACAAGAGGGAAACAGUCAGACACAAACUGAAACUCACAAGUUAAGAUCACAGGAACGAUAGGGAGCAGAAACACGAGGAUAAAUACACUCAAAGGACAAAACCAGGGAAAACUAAAUGAACAGAACAUAUAUAUCAUAUCAGCUGUUGUUUUGUUGUUUUCUCUCAAACUAAUCUUUGUCUGUCUUUUCUUUUGUCUCCUGAGCUCCUCCUGGACACUGAGGACGAUGAAAGUAAGCACAAAGUUACGACCUGCACCUUGAAAAGACGCUUUUUUUCACUUUUGUCCUCUACAGCUUUUGUGUCCACCCACUUUAAUGAAACAUCAGCUCUAAAGCUGCUUUAAAUCAACAAUCAGACAUUUAAAGGAAAAUGAGGAUUUGGGAGUUUAAUGUAACUUUAAAACUUUAAAUAAAUGCACAUAAAAUGACAAUAAAUGGGUUAAGUUUCACAUCAGUUGAACAGCAGUGUUUAUUCAGUGUUAAAUGAAAGUUCUGUUGGAUCUGAACCGACACCAAAGAGUCACAAAAAGGUCCCAAAAGUUGGAUCGUUGAAAGCAGCUCCGUACUUCCUCAGGGAUGUUCGUUUUUCAGGUGACUGUUUUAUAUCCAAGUAACAUUAUUGACAGUAAUCUCGUCUCCAUGUUAAUGAUGCAUCAGAAUUACGUUGGAAUUGAUCAGAUCUGAACACAUGUGGACCGUGAAGGAGCUGAAAAUCCUCCAUCAGAUUUCCUGUUUCAGGAUCUUACACGGUGAAUCUGCCAGAGUUCGAUAAAAAAGAAGUCUGAGUUAUUCUAACACUAAAAGAUAAACUCAGAGUGUAGAUUUGGGAAAGUGUUUAAUAAGACCUCAUGUUUGUUAAUGGACUGGACAAAAUAUUAGGAACACCUUUAAAUAAAACACACUCCAGGACACCGUGACCACCAACUGUGUCUUAAAUAAUCAAUCUAAAGAACGGUGAGCACCUUUAAAACCAGCAGUUUCACGGUUUGGUGAUUGAACCCUCAUCUGCCAUGCUGGGUUUGAGGGUUCGAGUCCCUGCCAAUGCAAGGAGCAUUCCUGAGUUUCCCUUCAGGAUACAUUAAAUAUUCUGGCUCUGAAUUUUUACUUUUACUCGAGUAACGUCUACAUAACGUACAUCAGAGAAAAUGUUUUCCUCUGGUAAAAUCAGAUGAAGCUCAAAUUUCUCGUUUCAUUAAAGUUUUUCCAAUAUUAUCAUAGAAACAUGUAAAGGAAGGUAAAAAGCAGAGAUUUGGUUUAUAUCAGAAAAGUUAGAUUGGUCUAAAAGAAAGUUCUCAUUUGAAGAUUUGUCACAGGAGGAAUCUAAUCUUAAAAACACCUGACCUCACUAAAGAUCGAGUAAUUUAAACAAAAGUUAAGAUGAUGAUAACUUAUCAUAACUGAGUUUUUCUCAGAGGAAUAUAGAAACACUCCUGUUCCUAAAUUUGAAGGAACCAGAUUAUGAAGAUAAAAAAAAAACACUGACGUUACUUUUGGAAACUAUAGUUCAUAGUUUCAUACCCAGACAGACACUAAAUAUUCACUUCAUAUUAAAACAAAAUCAAAUCCAAUAUUUUCCUAAAACUGUAAAACAGGCCAGUGAAAUCAAACUUUCGUGUUCCCAAUUUCAAUACAGGUAUUUGAGUCCACAAGAGGGCGCUGUCCAGUUUUCUUCAACUUGUGGUAAUCAUCUUUUUUUUUCUGCUUUGAAGUCUGAAAGUCACUAAACAUUAUUCAUCACUUAUUUUGGGUACGAUUCAGAGACGGUAAAUGCUCUAAGACGGGGCGAUGAAACGUCUGUCAGGGUCAAAAAUAAA